ensembl:lncRNA
ACUCAAUCUGAUGCAUUAUGUCCGUUUUAGACAGCUCCUUGUGUAUGGAUAGGACUUUUCAACGUAAAUGCAGAAAGAGAUUUCAAUCAUGUAUAAUUAUUAUGUUCACACAGGAGAACUGAGGGAAAGAGCUCUGAGCCCAGCCGAACAUUGAGCACUGAAACUCGGCUGAGGACUUUAGAUCGACGCCCACCAAACACUCUCUCCUCAGAAUGGUGCUCGAAUCAAGCCCUCUGUGAUGGAUGAGAGAGAGAGGGUUUUCCAGUGAUGGCAACAGUUCCUAUGACAACCAGACCUCCACCGGGGGAUUGCGUCUGUCAGACAGUGCUAAUGAUAAUUGAGAGGGGGAUUUUCCUGUGGCGAGCCGCUUCGGAAAAAGCAAUUAAGAAUUCCCAAACAGUGCACAACAAUGGGAGACGUCGUUCUGCAAUGCAAGUUCCGAAUCCAAGUCAGUCCCUUACGGUUUUCCUCUGAAACGGUCCCUGGCUAUAUUUAAUCCGCCCUGAGAGCAGAACCAACCUACAUACAAACCACAAAUUGAAACUAUGUGGAGGUGGUUUGUGGAGUGUGGGCUAAGUGGGGAUGGUAAUUGUCUAUUGAGAAGCUUAGGCCUCGCUAUUCUGCCUGCAAUAAACAGGCUUGGCAGCCCAUAACAUGAUACCCCUGCCUCCACUCCACUGUUUGAGUUGGGGAGCAGAUCCUCCUUGUCUGUGGGAACCCAUGGCCCAGCAGUGGUCGGAAUCAGUCAGGAAUGCUUUGGAAUGGUAACACAGCGGAAGGCUAGGGUGGGAAAAAGGCCAAGAGCAUUUCCUGAACAGAGGGGGGUCCCAGAGAAGCAUCACACUUCACUGGCAUCAUAUGACAGGGAUCCCACCAGGCCUGAGCCCAUGAUCCCGAUUGGAGGAGAGAGAUGCGGUAGGGGAGAGGAGGGUGAAGCUGGAACAGAAGAGAGGUGGAUACGCAAGAAAGGCAGAGUGGCUGGAGUGGGCAGGCAUGCGGGUUUGGCCACAGGAAGCCAUGAAUUCCUCGGAGAACAGAGGGUGUCAGGGCCCAGAACACGACUUGGGGGAGUGACAUACUGUACCUUGUAACGUCUCAUAAUCCUCCUAGUUGACCCCUGACCCCGGCCUGCGUUUGUAUCAGGUCAUCGACGUGAGGAAUUGUAAUGAGUCACUCCAGCAGUGUGUUUACCUUCUGGAGUCACGCACGGAAGGAAAUAAGGCACGGUCUUCUAAAAGUGUCAAAGUGAGUGAGAAUAGCAGCAGUAUUAGAGCAGAGCCCUGAUUCAUCUCACUGUGACUGACACUGGGUUUAUUUAACCUAUUCACUACUGUAGGGAGACUAGCUACAGAUCAGCCAAAACAAGGAGUAAGUCUACAAUAUACCGCACUGUAUGAAAACAUAAGGUAUGAGAUUAAUAGUGUAAUUCUGUAAUUGAAGUCUGAUUCAUAGUUUGGUUCACUCAUUGAGUGAAAUGAUCCGUGUACUGUAGUAUGUAGGUACAGCUUGUUUUUGCUAUCACUGUGUAAUAUGUUGCUAAUAAUCCGAACAUGUAUUAUUUUUGUCAUAAUUUUCUGCUGACUGUGUUGCAGUCGUUCCAGUUUUUUGCUAUGCCCAAUGAAAUUAGGAGAGAUUAAGUAAUUUCCUUUCUCUGUCUCAUGCAACAAUCAUAAAUGAGGUGAUUUUUCUGUGUAAUAAAAAUGUAUUGCAAUACAUUUCUGACUCUCCCAGAUACAGAUUAUAUUAUACGCUUUAGAGGAGAAAUCGCUGCACUCCCAAAUACAUUGUUUUUUUAUCUUGAACUUGAAACUGGAAUGAGUAUGGAACUGUGGCCAACGCCUGUGAUUAAAAUACAAUGUCCUGGCCUACCAUCACGCUGUAGCCUUCGACACUGUGGGCUUGUGUGAUUGCACAAUUGUUGUUUUUGAGCAAGUGCCCUUGUUAGUUUUACUCUGUAAAUAAAUGUGUGCUUCGAGCUGACAAUUCAUCCUCUGUUACUUUCUUUCCUCCUUAUAUUGGAGAGGAGAACAUCAUCACUGACCAGUGUCUCCACCACACACACACACACACACACACACACACACACACACACACACACACACACACACACACACACACACACACACACACACACACACACACACACACACACACACACACACACACACACACUGCCACAAUGAGAGAGUCGGC